UGGGGAAUUUUGGACAAUGGGCGAAAGCCUGAUCCAGCAAUGCCGCGUGUGUGAAGAAGGCCUUCGGGUUGUAAAGCACUUUUGUCCGGAAAGAAAUGGCUCUGGUUAAUACCUGGGGUCGAUGACGGUACCGGAAGAAUAAGGACCGGCUAACUACGUGCCAGCAGCCGCGGUAAUACGUAGGAUCCAAGCGUUAAUCGGAAUUACUGGGCGUAAAGCGUGCGCAGGCGGUUGUGCAAGACCGAUGUGAAAUCCCCGAGCUUAACUUGGGAAUUGCAUUGGUGACUGCACGGCUAGAGUGUGUCAGAGGGGGGUAGAAUUCCACGUGUAGCAGUGAAAUGCGUAGAGAUGUGGAGGGAAUACCGAUGGCGAAGGCAGCCCCCUGGGAUAACACUGACGCUCAUGCACGAAAGCGUGGGGAGCAAACAGGAUUAGAUACCCUGGUAGUCCACGCCCUAAACGAUGUCAACUAGUUGUUGGGGAUUCA
rnacentral:rRNA from 1 species